CAACAUUAGGGGUAAUAAAGGCAAAAAGGUAGAGAGUAAUGCAUGUUUCAUGUUGUAUCAUAUGAGAUUAUACCUCCAGCUAAAGCAAGUAACUUUUCGUCUUUCCAUGUGAAUGUAACAGGCAUUUGGCAUGUCAUUUGAGAUUUGUUCAUUUUUAGCAUAUAGCCCCUAUGUUCAUGAGUUUGUGAUGUACCUAUAUUCAAUCCUAAUUAUUACUAGCUAACUGUGUGGACUUUCUAGAGGAUGUAUGUGUCUAUUAUUUGCAGACCCAUGUCAAUUUAAUUUUAGGUGCUUGUGCUUUGGUUAAAUUUUAAUUUCUCUCUGUUUGCAUGUCGUUCUUCUCUCUACUUUCUGGUUAGUUCUAUUUUUCUGUUCCAUUUCUGCUUCUUUUUCGUUUCCACUAUUCUGAAGUUGUUUCCAUAUAUUCACAAAUUUCAUCAAUUUCCUCUCUUUUUUCCAUUUGAGUUACUCUCUCCUCUUUGGCCCUUUCAUAGUCACUUCAAUUUCUACUUUUGUGAUUUGCUUUCAUCAAUUUCAGAUGGUCAUGCUUCUAUUGACGUCCUGCUGCUGUUAAUUCUUUUAUAGGGAGUUGGAAGGUUUCACACAUUUCUUAAGAUUAAAGGAAUUCUGGGUUGUUUAUGGGCGGACAGUGAAUAAAUUUUGAAGUGAAGUUUGGUUAAGCAUUGAAGCCAUGGAAGCUGAGAAGAUCUAUUACAGAGGUUUCUGCCACUGAACUUGCUUAUUCACUGGAAAGAACUGUAUUAUGAGUUGGAGCUGGAAGGGUAUGAGCUUAAUA